GCCGAAGUAGCUCAGCUGGGAGAGAGUUAGACUGAAAAUCUAAAGGUCCCUGGUUUAACCCCAGGUUUCUGCA